GGCCUUGAUCAGCUGGCCUCUAGGUGCUACUGCAAUAUAAACGUUUAAUGUAAUAACUUAAAAUAGUAGGGCUUUAACCACACUGUAUUAUUUGUCAUACUAAGGGAGACCUGCACAGCUAGCUUUAUUUAUGGCAGGAGGGACUCAAACAUGACAGAAAGGCACUGAUCUGAGCAGAGAAGAAGACAGCAUACUCUGGCAGAGAACUUUCUUUCUUUAAGCGGGCUUUGGAAUAAAGAAAGUAUCAGUGCUUACUGACACCAGCUUGGAGUCUCAAGCCUGGUUAGUGGCGAGUACCAUAAUCUCACCUCAAAGAAAGACCAGCAUGCUGACUGUCAUUUCUGGAGAGCUCAAUGAACGCCCGGGAGAAUAGGGCCAGAAAGCAAGUCAGGAAUAAGGACAAUGUGGACACUAAGCAAAUAUGGUGAGUUAUGGGAAAAUUUAGAAUAAAACUGAGCUAGCGA
rnacentral:lncRNA from 1 species